rnacentral:rRNA from 1 species
UGGGGAAUUUUGGCCAAUGGGGGAAACCCUGAUCCAGCCAUCCCGCGUGUGCGAUGAAGGCCUUCGGGUUGUAAAGCACUUUUGGCAGGAAAGAAACGUCAUGGGUUAAUACCCCGUGAAACUGACGGUACCUGCAGAAUAAGCACCGGCUAACUACGUGCCAGCAGCCGCGGUCAUACGUAGGGUGCAAGCGUUAAUCGGAAUUACUGGGCGUAAAGCGAGCGCAGGCGGUUCGGAAAGAAAGAUGUGAAAUCCCAGAGCUCAACUUUGGAACUGCAUUUUUAACUACCGGGCUAGAGUGUGUCAGAGGGAGGUGGAAUGCCGCGUGUAGCAGUGAAAUGCGUAGAUAUGCGGAGGAACACCGAUGGCGAAGGCAGCCUCCUGGGAUAACACUGACGCUCAUGCAAGAGAACGUGGGGGGCAAACAAG